rnacentral:tRNA from 1 species
GGAACAAUAGCUCAAUGGUUAGAGCAUCGGACUCAUAAUCCGUGGGUUGAAAGUUCAAGUCUUUCUUGUUCCA